rnacentral:rRNA from 1 species
GACGAACGCUGGCGGCGUGCCUAAUACAUGCAAGUCGAGCGAAGUUUUUCUGGUGCUUGCACCGGAAAAACUUAGCGGCGAACGGGUGAGUAACACGUAAAGAACCUGCCUCAUAGACUGGGACAACUAUUGGAAACGAUAGCUAAUACCGGAUAACAGCAUUAACUGCAUGGUUGAUGUUUGAAAGUUGGUUUUGCUAACACUAUGAGAUGGCUUUGCGGUGCAUUAGCUAGUUGGUGGGGUAAAGGCCUACCAAGGCGACGAUGCAUAGCCGACCUGAGAGGGUGAUCGGCCACACUGGGACUGAGACACGGCCCAGACUCCUACGGGAGGCAGCAGUAGGGAAUCUUCCGCAAUGGGCGAAAGCCUGACGGAGCAACGCCGCGUGAGUGAAGAAGGAUUUCGGUUCGUAAAGCUCUGUUGUUAGGGAAGAAUGAUUGUGUAGUAACUAUACACAGUAGAGACGGUACCUAACCAGAAAGCCACG